rnacentral:rRNA from 1 species
UACGUAGGGGGGCAAGCGUUUGUCCGGAAUUAUUGGGCGUAAAGCGCGCGCAGGCGGCCUUGUAAGUCUGUCGUUUAAACUCGGAGCUCAAACUUCGAGUCGCGAUGGAAACUGCAAAGCUUGAGUGCAGAAGAGGAAAGUGGAAUUCCACGUGUAGCGGUGAAAUGCGUAGAGAUGUGGAGGAACACCAGUGGCGAAGGCGACUUUCUGGGCUGUAACUGACGCUGAGGCGCGAAAGGCGUGGGGGGCAAACAGG